rnacentral:rRNA from 1 species
GACAGAGGGUGCAAACGUUGUUCGGAAUUACUGGGCGUAAAGCGUGUGUAGGCGGUCCCCUAAGUCGGGUGUGAAAGCCCUGGGUUCAACCCAGGAAGUGCACUCGAAACUGGAGGGCUAGAGUAUCGGAGAGGUUGGUGGAAUUCUCGGUGUAGAGGUGAAAUUCGUAGAUAUCGAGAGGAACACCGGUGGCGAAGGCGGCCAACUGGACGGAUACUGACGCUGAGACACGAAAGCGUGGGGAGCAAACAGG